rnacentral:rRNA from 1 species
AAUAUUGGACAAUGGGGGCAACCCUGAUCCAGCCAUGCCGCGUGUGUGAAGAAGGUCUUCGGAUUGUAAAGCAUUUUAUGACGGGAGGAAGGGCUUUAGGUUAAUACGCUGAAGUUUUGGCGUUACCAACAGAAUAAGCACCGGCGAACUCUGUGCCAGCAGCAGCGGUAAUACAGAGGGUGCAAGCGUUAAUCGGAAUUACUGGGCGUAAAGCGCGCGUAGGUGGUUCAGUAAGAUGGGUGUGAAAUCCCCGGGCUUAACCUGGGAACUGCUUUCAUAACUGCUGAGCUAGAGUACGGUAGAGGGUAGUGGAAUUUCCUGUGUAGCGGUGAAAUGCGUAGAUAUAGGAAGGAACACCAGUGGCGAAGGCGACUACCUGGACUGAUACUGACACUGGGGUGCGAAAGCGUGGGGAGCAAACA